UUUCCGUAGGUGAACCUGCGGAAGGAUCAUUAUUGUAUAACCGAGGUGCGAGGGCUGUCGCUGACCCGAAAGGUCGUGCACGCCCGAGUGCCCUCACACACAUCCAUCUCACCCCUAUGUGCACCACCGCGUGGGUCCCCCUUUGGCUUGUUCGGAGGGGGGCUUACGUUUUCACACAAACUUUGUAUGCAGUGUAGAAUGUAUUUCUUGUUCUUGCGAUCACGCAAUCAAUACAACUUUCAACAACGGAUCUCUUGGCUCUC
rnacentral:misc_RNA from 1 species